rnacentral:rRNA from 1 species
AUGUGGAAGUUCACUAAGGAUGGGAUUUACUCUGCUUCAUCGGCAUACAAGGCACAAUUUGAAGGUCUCAUAUCCUCUGAUCUUGUCAAGUCUGUGUGGAGGGUCUGGGCUCCCCCGAGGUGCAAAUUCUUUUCUUGGCUCGUUCUUCAAAACAGAAUAUGGGCAUCAGACCGCUUGAUCCGUCGUGGCUGGCCCAACUGCGGCUUGUGUCCCCUUUGUAAGCAAGCACAGGAGUCCGCUGCUCACCCACUCUUCCAAUGCCGUUUCACAUUGCGCAUUUGGAAUGACAUUCUUCUGUGGCUUGGAAUGCACCACAUCUCUACUACUACAUGGACGGUGAGCGCUUCGGUCAAAGAAUGGUGGGACAGCAACCUUCAGAUUCGUCUCGGCUCUCCCAAAGCCCUUGCCUCAUUGAUGAUGCUCAUCUCUUGGGAGGUUUGGUCCGAGAGAAACGCUAGAGUCUUCCGCAACGUGGCGGUUCCAUCGGUGGCAACAAGAUCAAGCAUGAGGCGUGGCUUUGGGCUUUGGCGGGUGCCAAGCACUUGA